rnacentral:lncRNA from 1 species
AUUACUCAAAUUACUGUAUCUCAUUUUGUCUUUUUUGCUUUACCAUGAAAAAUAGCACCCCCUCUGGCCAGGGCUAGGGGGGGGGGNNNNNNNNNNNNNNNNNNNNCCCCCCCCAUAGGAUAUCCAGACCCCUCAACAGGGAGGGGGAGGCAGCUUAUAUUAAAUUGAAUGGCCCAUUCAAAGUCCUGGCACAUCAGCGAAGGUAUAAUAAAAACAAUUAUGGUAGACGAAAUUGUACUUAAAACUUUGUUAUUCUUUGUAUUCUAUUCUUUAAAAUAUUGUCUUUGUAUACAGGGAUGGAUCCAGCAUGAUCUGGUAGGAGGGGGGGGGGGUGCUCUGGUGCCGACUACCAAGUUGUGUUGGUCAUGUGUGCCGCCCGCCCAUGAACUACUGUAUUUGAAUUGUAAUUGUUGUUCACAGUUCACUAGGGCUAGGGGGGGGGGGGCACCCCCCAGUAAAUCCAUCCCUGUUUGUAUAUUCAGUGUAACACCUCUGUGUAACAUUAUUCUGCAGUGUAUAAACAUUAUUCAUGUAUGAUUAUUCAUAUGUCAUCUGUGACUCAAUUUCCAUUUUAGUAAAUGACAUACUUUUUUGUAGUUUCCUAGCAGAAAGAUCAGGCUGACUCCUUCAAAGAAGUCACCAGCGAAAAAACAUAAAUGGACCUUUGAGGAAAAUAAAGCUUUGAUCUAGUUAUGGAAAAAUUUUGUCCAUAAUAAAAUAUAAUAACAACAAUUUACGAUAUCCUAGUAAUCUAUGUCACUGUUAUAAUCGUAGGGAUCCAUAAUAAAAUAUGUAGGGGUCCAUAAUAAAAUAAAAUAACAACAAUUUACAAUAUACUUCUUGUGUGUGUUGGUGUUAUGUACUCAGGUGAAUAUGAUGUUUGUGAUGUUACUCUGAGUGUG